rnacentral:rRNA from 1 species
GACGAACGCUGGCGGCGUGCUUAACACAUGCAAGUCGAACGAUGAUGCCCAGCUUGCUGGGCGGAUUAGUGGCGAACGGGUGAGUAAUACGUGAGUAACCUGCCCUUGACUCUGGGAUAAGCCUGGGAAACUGGGUCUAAUACUGGAUACUACCUCUUACCGCAUGGUGGGUGGUGGAAAGGGUUUUACUGGUUUUGGAUGGGCUCACGGCCUAUCAGCUUGUUGGUGGGGUAAUGGCUCACCAAGGCGACGACGGGUAGCCGGCCUGAGAGGGUGACCGGCCACACUGGGACUGAGACACGGCCCAGACUCCUACGGGAGGCAGCAGUGGGGAAUGUUGCACAAUGGGCGGAAGCCUGAUGCAGCGACGCCGCGUGAGGGAUGACGGCCUUCGGGUUGUAAACCUCUUUCAGUAGGGAAGAAGCGGGAGUGACGGUACCUGCAGAAGAAGCGCCGGCUAACUACGUGCCAGCAGCCGCGGUAAUACGUAGGGCGCAAGCGUUGUCCGGAAUUAUUGGGCGUAAAGAGCUCGUAGGCGGUUUGUCGCGUCUGCUGUGAAAGCCCGGGGCUCAACCCCGGGUCUGCAGUGGGUACGGGCAGACUAGAGUGCAGUAGGGGAGACUGGAAUUCCUGGUGUAGCGGUGAAAUGCGCAGAUAUCAGGAGGAACACCGAUGGCGAAGGCAGGUCUCUGGGCUGUUACUGACGCUGAGGAGCGAAAGCAUGGGGAGCGAACAGGAUUAGAUACCCUGGUAGUCCAUGCCGUAAACGUUGGGCACUAGGUGUGGGGGACAUUCCACGUUUUCCGCGCCGUAGCUAACGCAUUAAGUGCCCCGCCUGGGGAGUACGGCCGCAAGGCUAAAACUCAAAGGAAUUGACGGGGGCCCGCACAAGCGGCGGAGCAUGCGGAUUAAUUCGAUGCAACGCGAAGAACCUUACCAAGGCUUGACAUUCACCGGACCGCCCCAGAGAUGGGGUUUCCCUUCGGGGCUGGUGGACAGGUGGUGCAUGGUUGUCGUCAGCUCGUGUCGUGAGAUGUUGGGUUAAGUCCCGCAACGAGCGCAACCCUCGUUCUAUGUUGCCAGCACGUGAUGGUGGGGACUCAUAGGAGACUGCCGGGGUCAACUCGGAGGAAGGUGGGGAUGACGUCAAAUCAUCAUGCCCCUUAUGUCUUGGGCUUCACGCAUGCUACAAUGGCCGGUACAAAGGGUUGCGAUACUGUGAGGUGGAGCUAAUCCCAAAAAGCCGGUCUCAGUUCGGAUUGAGGUCUGCAACUCGACCUCAUGAAGUCGGAGUCGCUAGUAAUCGCAGAUCAGCAACGCUGCGGUGAAUACGUUCCCGGGCCUUGUACACACCGCCCGUCAAGUCACGAAAGUUGGUAACACCCGAAGCCGGUGGCCUAACCCCUUGUGGGAGGGAGCCGUCGAAGGUGGGACUGGCGAUUGGGACU